rnacentral:lncRNA from 1 species
GAAGAUGGAUAAUGUCCUUUCAUUGGCGACAAAUUUAUCAAAGUUGCUCAGGUUUAGGGAUAUGAAAUAAAUGUAUUGAUGUUUUGGGGUGCUUCUCUUUUGAUUUCCAUGAUACAGUGCUAUGAGUGUAAUUUAGUCAUAGUAUCUAUCAACUUCUCUCUCAUCUCAAAAUACAUUUUUUCUUCGAAAAGAGCUCAAAAUACAAAGACUGUCUUUUCCUUGUUUAAACUUUACUGGUAUUGUCGUGUGUGUAUUAGCUCUGAAGUGUGUUCUCAAACAAUAUGUAAUAUUUUUGUGUUGCAGCCAUUUUUGGAGAGUUUAUCUAUAUGCCCAAAGCAUGUACUUCACAACCCACUUGGAGCUCCAGAGAGGUAUGUGUUAUUUUCUUGUACUAUUUUUGGCUGCCCGUUGUUUUGAAUCUUAUGUUUCGAAAACUCAACUAGAAAACAAUGAGUUGGGGCGCGGCAGGAAGGGGAGCAUCACCAGGGAGAAGAAAAUGUAUUGUGGGAAAAAGGACAGAGAUCCCCGAGCUUUUGCGAGAGGGGAUGGAGCGGCGGCUGCGUCGACCCGACCAGUUGCAAGUGGAUGGAGCGGUGGCUGCACGGACAUGCUCCUGGAGGUGCCGGUAUGCAGCCUCAUUUUGAGCCUGGGAGGAUCCUCGCCCUGUCCUGGCCUCAAGGGUGCUCAUCUACUUGUUAUCGUGCUCUGCAGUUAGAACGAUGCGCUAAUGCAGGCUUGAUUUUUUACUUAUUCCUUUUUUAUGCAUAUCCCUGAAUUUUG